GACGAACCGUGCGAACGUUAUUCGGAAUUACUGGGCUUAAAGCGCGUGUAGGCGGGCCGGCACGUCCGUGGCUGAAAGCCCCCGGCUCAACCGGGGAAGUGGCGCGGAUACGACCGGCCUCGAGGCAGGCAGAGGGUGGCGGAAUUCCGGGUGUAGUGGUGAAAUGCGUAGAGAUCCGGAGGAACGCCGGUGGCGAAAGCGGCCACCUGGGUCUGACCUGACGCUGAGGUGCGAAAGCGUGGGGAGCAAACAGG
rnacentral:rRNA from 1 species